GGCCGCGUGGCGAAAUGGCAUCGCGUCUAACUACGAAUUAGGAGAUUGCAGGUUCGACCCCUGCGGUGGUCA
rnacentral:tRNA from 1 species